GACGAACGCUGGCGGCGUGCCUAAUACAUGCAAGUAGAACGCUGAAGGAGUAGCUUGCUUCUCUGGAUGAGUUGCGAACGGGUGAGUAACGCGUAGGUAACCUGCCUGGUAGCGGGGGAUAACUAUUGGAAACGAUAGCUAAUACCGCAUAAUAGUAGAUGUUGCAUGACAUUUGCUUAAAAGGUUCAAUUGCAUCACUACCAGAUGGACCUGCGUUGUAUUAGCUAGUUGGUGGGGUAAAGGCUCACCAAGGCGACGAUACAUAGCCGACCUGAGAGGGUGAUCGGCCAGACUGGGACUGAGACACGGCCCAGAGUCAUACGGGAGGCAGCAGUAGGGAAUCUUCGGCAAUCGAUGGAAGUCUGACCGAGAAACGCCGAGUGAGUGAAGAAGGUUUUCGGAUCGUAAAGCUCUGUUGUAAGAGAAGAACGAGUGUGAGAGUGGAAAGUUCACACUGUGACGGUAUCUUACCAGAAAGGGACGGCUAACUACGUG
rnacentral:rRNA from 1 species